rnacentral:lncRNA from 1 species
UACCAAAAAUCAUAUAAUUUGGAGAACCCUAAUCUAUACAUCAAGUAGUCAAAAAUUAGACAAUAUAAAUAAUAUCAAAUAAUAUGUAUUUUUUUAUUGCUUAAUGUGUAGGUUAUGUGAUACUUGGGCCAGACCCAUCUAAGUAGGGCCCAGGCCCUUGUCCCAUGAGGUACCACCUUAGGUGGUAUGUGGAUAAGAGCGAGAA